rnacentral:rRNA from 2 species
AUCAUGGCUCAGGACGAACGCUGGCGGCGUGCUCAACACAUGCAAGUCGGACGAGACGAUUGAAAGCUUGCUUUUGAAAGUCGAGUGGCAAACGGGUGAGCAACGCGUAGACAACCUGCCGUAAAGAUGGGGACAACAGUCCGAAAGGACUGCUAAUACCGAAUGUUGUGGAACUUCCGCAUGGGAGCUCUACUAAAGAUGGCCUCUACUUGUAAGCUAUCGCUUUACGAUGGGUCUGCGUCUGAUUAGCUAGUUGGUGGGGUAACGGCCUACCAAGGCGACGAUCAGUAGCCGGUCUGAGAGGAUGAACGGCCACAUUGGAACUGAGACACGGUCCAGACUCCUACGGGAGGCAGCAGUGGGGAAUCUUCCGCAAUGGGCGCAAGCCUGACGGAGCAACGCCGCGUGAGUGAAGAAGGGUUUCGACUCGUAAAGCUCUGUUGUCGGGGACGAAUGUGGAGGUUGUGAAUAACAGCUUCCAAUGACGGUACCUGACGAGGAAGCCACGGCUAACUACGUGCCAGCAGCCGCGGUAAUACGUAGGUGGCGAGCGUUGUCCGGAAUUAUUGGGCGUAAAGGGAGCGCAGGCGGGAGGUCAAGUCUAUCUUAAAAGUGCGGGGCUCAACCCCGUGAGGGGAUGGAAACUGGUCUUCUUGAGUGCAGGAGAGGAAAGCGGAAUUCCUAGUGUAGCGGUGAAAUGCGUAGAUAUUAGGAGGAACACCAGUGGCGAAGGCGGCUUUCUGGACUGUAACUGACGCUGAGGCUCGAAAGCGUGGGGAGCGAACAGGAUUAGGUACCCUGGUAGUCCACGCCGUAAACGAUGAAUGCUAGGUGUAGGAGGUAUCGGCCCCUCCUGUGCCGGAGUUAACGCAAUAAGCAUUCCGCCUGGGGAGUACGGCCGCAAGGCUGCAACUCAAAGGAAUUGACGGA